GUCUAUGGCUAUGCUACACCGAUUUUUGCCCGAUCCUGUCUGAUCUCGGAAGCUACGCAGGGUCGGGCCUGGUUAAUUCUUGGAUGGGAGACCACCUAUGAAGACCAGGUGCUGUAUGCA
rnacentral:rRNA from 1 species